GGGGUUGUUGCUCAGUGGCAGAGUGCUUGCCUAGGAUGUGAGGCACUGGGUUCAAUCCUCAGCACUACA
rnacentral:tRNA from 1 species